AUGAGGAGACACACUGUUGGUGCAUCUCUGCUUAAAUAUCAUAACACCACAGCAAAAUUUUGGAAAGCAUUCUGUAUCAAAACAUUGAUCAUAGCCCUGGCAAAGAACAAACUGCCAACACAUAGAGACAGUUCAACAGAAACUCUCAGAGGAGAAACAGUAUGUCCACUCACCAUCAUUGCAGUCUCAAUCGGGAAGGGGAGCCAGAAGAUGAGAAGUAGCAAAACACUCAGCACCACUCCCUCUUCUUUCCCACAAAGACCUACUAUGCAUCCAGAAUCAGAGAUUAUGUGAUCCAACCGUUGACUACUGCUUAUUCUUUCAGCCUACUCUUGAUCUCCACACAACUAAAGGAUCUGCCCUACAUCCUAUUCUGUGCAGUAGGUAGGUGAAAGCUAUAAUCAGCAGCACCUAGCCUUUUCUUUAUGUUAUGACAAUGUAUUUGUUCAAGCAUGUUCCUGUACCCUUGCACACUCCAUGGCUUAUAUGAACGAGGGGGAAAUAGUUGUUGUGGGUAUUUCGGGCUCUUUGGCCGUGUUCUGAAGUGUGAACGGGCGGAUAAAAGACAAGAAGAGAGGGUGAGCCAUCCCCUCAUAUUAUAAAAGAGGAAAAAGAUAGAGAGGAGAGAGAGAGAGAGGUAGUGAAAGUUAUAGAAAGGGCGAAAGAGCUGGAGGUGGGGAAAAGGGGGAGGAGUUAGGAAAGAUGGUGUGAGGGUUCAAAUUUGACCUCUGGUUUCAAUAGAGACACUGGGGACACUCGCUUUGGUAAAUCAUAACUAUGUUUUAUUGGAACAUGUAACAGCAAGUCCGUAUGUUCAAGCUCAACCUCUGCAUUGUCUCUCAUCGCCAACGGGUCCCGCAAGGGCAUCCAAAUGUCUUUAUUAAAGGGGUUACAAUUUAAGUCAUUCUACGGUUCCCUUCACAAACAGGUUACUGCUUUCCAUCUCAGCAGCUUCUGUUUCAGGAUUUAAUAACAGGGUGAUCUCUUCAUUUCAUCCCUCCGACUCAUAAGGGUCAUCCUCUCAUUGUAGCAGGGCCUACGGUCCAUCAGGUAUCCCCUCCUCUGGGCU
rnacentral:lncRNA from 1 species